CCUACGGGAGGCAGCAGUGGGGAAUAUUGCACAAUGGGGGAAACCCUGAUGCAGCGACGCCGCGUGAGUGAAGAAGUAAUUCGUUAUGUAAAGCUCUAUAAGAAGGGAAGAAAAUGACGUUACCUGAGUAAAAAGCCCCGGCUAACUACGUGCCAGCAGCCGCGGUAAUACGUAGGGGGCCAGCGUUAUACGGAUUUAAUGGGGGUAAAGGGAGCGUAGACGGCAGGGCAAGUCUGGAGUGCAAGGCGGGGGCUCAACCCCCGGACUGCUCUGGAAACUGUACGGCUGGAGUGCAGGAGAGGGAAGUGGAAUUCCUGGUGUAGCAGUGAAAUGCGUAGAUAUUAGGAGGAACACCAGUGGCGAAGGCGGCUUACUGGACUGUAACUGACGUUGAGGCUCGAAAGCGUGGGGAGCAAACAGGAUUAGAUACCCGUGUAGUC
rnacentral:rRNA from 1 species